UGGGGAAUGGUGUAAUCAGGCAACACAUCUGACUCUGGAUCAGAAGAUUCCAAGUUCGAGUCUUGGUUCCCCAGCCG
rnacentral:tRNA from 1 species